rnacentral:rRNA from 1 species
GAUGAACGCUAGCGGCAGACCUAACACAUGCAAGUCGAGGGGUAGAAGUUGCUUGCAACUUUGAGACCGGCGUACGGGUGCGUAACGCGUAUGCAAUCUGCCUUGUACUGAGGGAUAGCCCAGAGAAAUUUGGAUUAAUACCUCAUAGCAUUAUGGUGUGGCAUCACAUUAUAAUUAAAGUUCCAACGGUACAAGAUGAGCAUGCGUCCCAUUAGUUAGUUGGUAAGGUAACGGCUUACCAAGACGAUGAUGGGUAGGGGUCCUGAGAGGGAGAUCCCCCACACUGGUACUGAGACACGGACCAGACUCCUACGGGAGGCAGCAGUGAGGAAUAUUGGUCAAUGGGCGCAAGCCUGAACCAGCCAUGCCGCGUGCAGGAUGACGGUCCUAUGGAUUGUAAACUGCUUUUAUACGGGAAGAAACACUCCUACGUGUAGGAACUUGACGGUACCGUAAGAAUAAGGAUCGGCUAACUCCGUGCCAGCCGCCGCCGUAAUAC